GAUGAGCGCUGGCGGUAUGCCUAACACAUGCAAGUCGUACGCCUCACUUCGGUGAGGAGUGGCGGACGGGUGAGUAACACGUUAGUACCUGCCCCAAAGUGGGGAAUAACUGCCCGAAAGGGUAGCUAAUACCCCAUAGUCUCCGGUUUAUCCGGAGUAAAGAUUUAUCGCUUUGGGAGGGGCUUGCGUUUGAUUAGCUAGUUGGUGAGGGUAAUGGCCCACCAAGGCGACGAUCAAUAGCUGGAUCGAGAGGUUGACCAGCCACACUGGGACUGAGAUACGGCCCAGACUCCUACGGGAGGCAGCAGUGAGGAAUCUUCCACAAUGGGCGAAAGCCUGAUCCAGCCAUGCCGCGUGAGUGAAGAAGGUCUUCGGAUUGUAAAGCUCUUUUGCCAGGGACGAUAAUGACGGUACCUGGAGAAUAAGCCCCGGCAAACUUCGUG
rnacentral:rRNA from 1 species